rnacentral:rRNA from 1 species
AUUGAACGCUGGCGGCAGGCCUAACACAUGCAAGUCGAGCGGAAACGAGUUAUCUGAACCGUUCGGGGGAUGAUAACGGCGUCGAGCGGCGGACGGGUGAGUAAUGCCUAGGAAAUUGCCCUGAGUGUGGGGAUAACCAUUGGAAACGAUGGCUAAUACCGCAUAAUGGCCUAACGGGCCGAAAGAGGGGGGACCUUUGGGCCUCUCGCGUCAGGAUAUGCCUAGGUGGGAUUAGCUAGUUGGUGAGGUAAUGGCUCACCAAGGCGACGAUCCCUAGCUGGUCUGAGAGGAUGAUCAGCCACACUGGAACUGAGACACGGUCCA